rnacentral:rRNA from 1 species
ACCGCAUGGUCUGCCGUCGAAAGAUUUAUCGGAUCGGGAGGGUCUCGCGGCCUAUCAGCUAGUUGGUGAGGUAACGGCUCACCAGGGCAUCGACGGGUAGCUGGUCUGAGAGGAUGAUCAGCCACACUGGGACUGAGACACGGCCCAGACUCCUACGGGAGGCAGCAGUGGGGAAUCUUGCACAAUGGGCGAAAGCCUGAUGCAGCAACGCCGCGUGCGGGAUGAAGGCCUUAGGGUUGUAAACCGCUUUCAGCAGGAAAGAAAAUGACGGUACCUGCAGAAGAAGGUGCGGCCAACUACGUGCCAGCAGCCGCGGUGACACGUAGGCACCAAGCGUUGUCCGGAUUUAUUGGGCGUAAAGAGCUCGUAGGCGGUUCGGUAAGUCGGGUGUUAAAACUCUGGGCUCAACCCAGAGACGCCACCCGAUACUGCUGUGACUAGAGUGCGGUAGGGGAGCGGGGAAUUCCUGGUGUAGCGGUGAAAUGCGCAGAUAUCAGGAGGAACACCAGUGGCGAAGGCGCCGCUCUGGGGCCGUACUGACGCUGAGGAGC